AUUUGGACCCAAAUUUCAUUGGCUCAUCACAUCGAGCCACGCCUCUUACCGCGCAUCGAGCCGCCGACGAUGCGCGUUGUUUCACCCAUUCACCUUGUUUUUUACAUCAUGAAUAUACCCACAGUUGUGUUAAUACAGAAAGCACAGAAAGUAACGUGAUAAAUACAAAGAAAAAAUAUACCAUUUGGAGUGUUAAGUAAUAAUAUAUCUAGUAUCUGUAUUUGCAUAAAUUGUGAAAAAAAAUGGUAAAAGCUUGUUGUGUGAAAAAUUGCAAAUCUUCUUGGUUUCCAGGAAUUAACCUAUCAUUCUUUUGUGUUCCUUUUUCUAACAAAGACCUUUUUAAUAAAUGGGUAGGGGUUAUUCCCAGCAAAGGUCCUAUUGGAAAAUAUUCAGUUAUAUGUAGUGAACAUUUUAAGGAUUAUGAUUUUAAAUAUUCGAGUGGUAAACGGUUUUUAAAAAAAAAUGUUGUGCCUAGUUCUUUCUCACAUGAUGUAUUGAGUGAUAUUACUUUGAAAUCAAAUAUAACGACUAGUAAUUUAACCCAAGAUGUAUUACAUUUAGAUCAUAUAUAUAGUACAUCAAUCAUACUUAAAGAGGAAACUGUCAACACAAUGAAUGAAUGUGAGGAAGAUAUAAAAUUUAAGGACAUUGCUACUCAAACCAAGAUUGAGUUAAAACAUCAAAACAGAGAACAUCAAUUGAAAGAAAAAAUCAGAUGUCUUCAGAAUAAAUUACGGCGCCGAGAAAAAAGAAUUGAUCACAUGACUGCCUUAGUGAAAGUCCUAAAAAGGAAGCUAAAUGCACAGAUAAAGUGCUUUAAAAGAAUGCACUAAAAAAAGUGCUUUUACGAAAACUUUCUGACUUUCAGUUAAAAGUUUUUAAAAACAAAAUGUAAAAUACUAUUAUAGUAAAACUUGAGAUCAAUAUUCAAAUAAUAUGAAAGAAUUUGCGUCUAUUUUAUAUUUUUAUUCUCUUAAAGUUUAUCGAUAUUUAUGAACAGUAUUACAUUUACCAGAAGAAUCUGUACUCUGUAAAAUGAUCAGAAAAUUUUGUGUAAGGGAAAUCUCGGAACCACAUUUUCAAUUGUUCAGCCAAAUCUUUCUCGUUCGUGAACACCAAACUGUUGUCAUUAUGCCUCACUAAUUCGGAUAAGCUAAAAAAUCAAGUUGUAAUUUAUUAAUAAGUAGAUCUAUUUAAUAGUUACAUUAGAUCGUAUUAAUUAUUGGUGUACCAAUUAAAAUUAUAUGCGCAAACUGGUAAACGGCAGCCAAACAUGUCAACGACUUUCAUUGGUAAAUCUAAUCCACUGGAUGAGAUGUGAAGGCAUACACCUAAAUCUGCACUAGCUGUUUUAAAGGAAACUUCAUAAUACCUAAUAUUUUGGGAUAAUCUUCAUUCUCAAGCCAUGGUGUCUUUACUUCAACAUGUUUCCAUUUUUUUAAGUUAAUAAUAGCCUUAUAGAAGUCUUUUAAUGGUCCUUUGCCAGUUAUUACACAGACCAAAUCUGGUAAAUUUAACUCGCCAUCUUCACACGCAUCUUCAUACUCUAGAAAAAAAUAUUAUAUAUGUAAUUCUUUUUAGUUGCAUACUUGUACAAAAUUACAUGAAUAAAAUAGAUUUACAUAAA